ACCCGCUGAACUUAAGCAUAUCAAUAAGCGGAGGAAAAGAAACCAACAGGGAUUGCCCUAGUAACGGCGAGUGAAGCGGCAAAAGCUCAAAUUUGAAAUCUGGUCCCUUCCAGGACCCGAGUUGUAAUUUGAAGAGGAUGCUUUUGGGGUAGCCCUAGGCUGAAGUUCCUUGGAACAGGACGUCAAAGAGGGUGAGAAUCCUGUUGACAGCUAGGCUGCUGGCCUCUAUGUAAAGCUCCUUCGAAGAGUCGAGUUGUUUGGGAAUGCAGCUCUAAAUGGGAGGUAAAUUUCUUCUAAAGCUAAAUAUUGACCGGAGACCGAUAGCGCACAAGUAGAGUGAUCGAAAGAUGAAAAGCACUUUGGAAAGAGAGUCAAACAGCACGUGAAAUUGUUGAAAGGGAAGCGCUCGCGAUCAGAUAUAUCAAGAGCGGCUUGGUAGGCCUACCCAGGCCUAUUGACUCCCCUCUUGAUAGGCCAGUAUCGGUUCUAACGGUUGCUUAAAGGCCUUGGGAAGGUAACUACUCCCUUCACGGGGGGCAGUACUUAUAGCCCGAAGCAUAAUGCUACCAGUUAAGACCGAGGAGUCUGCACCGUUCUACCGGUAAAGAUACUGGCAUAAUGGUCGU
rnacentral:rRNA from 1 species